GAUGAACGCUGGCGGCGUGCCUAAUACAUGCAAGUCGAGCGAACAGAUGAGGAGCUUGCUCCUCUGACGUUAGCGGCGGACGGGUGAGUAACACGUGGAUAACCUACCUAUAAGACUGGGAUAACUUCGGGAAACCGGAGCUAAUACCGGAUAAUAUAUUGAACCGCAUGGUUCAAUAGUGAAAGACGGUUUUGCUGUCACUUAUAGAUGGAUCCGCGCCGCAUUAGCUAGUUGGUAAGGUAACGGCUUACCAAGGCAACGAUGCGUAGCCGACCUGAGAGGGUGAUCGGCCACACUGGAACUGAGACACGGUACAGACUCCUACGGGAGGCAGCAGUAGGGAAUCUUCCGCAAUGGGCGAAAGCCUGACGGAGCAACGCCGCGUGAGUGAUGAAGGUCUUCGGAUCGUAAAACUCUGUUAUUAGGGAAGAACAAAUGUGUAAGUAACUAUGCACGUCUUGACGGUACCUAAUCAGAAAGCCACGGCUAACUACGUG
rnacentral:rRNA from 1 species